GAUGAACGCUGGCGGCGUGCCUAAUACAUGCAAGUCGAGCGAACGGACGAGAAGCUUGCUUCUCUGAUGUUAGCGGCGGACGGGUGAGUAACACGUGGAUAACCUACCUAUAAGACUGGGAUAACUUCGGGAAACCGGAGCUAAUACCGGAUGAUAUUUUGAACCGCAUGGUUCAAAAGUGAAAGACGGUCUUGCUGUCACUUAUAGAUGGAUCCGCGCUGCAUUAGCUAGUUGGUAAGGUAACGGCUUACCAAGGCAACGAUGCAUAGCCGACCUGAGAGGGUGAUCGGCCACACUGGAACUGAGACACGGUCCAGACUCCUACGGGAGGCAGCAGUAGGGAAUCUUCCGCAAUGGGCGAAAGCCUGACGGAGCAACGCCGCGUGAGUGAUGAAGGUCUUCGGAUCGUAAAACUCUGUUAUUAGGGAAGAACAUAUGUGUAAGCAACUGUGCACAUCUUGACGGUACCUAAUCAGAAAGCCACGGCUAACUACGUG
rnacentral:rRNA from 1 species